CCUACGGGUGGCAGCAGUGGGGAAUAUUGGGCAAUGGGCGCAAGCCUGACCCAGCAACGCCGCGUGAAGGAAGAAGGCUUUCGGGUUGUAAACUUCUUUUCUCAGGGACGAAGCAAGUGACGGUACCUGCGGAAUAAGCCACGGCUAACUACGGGCAAGCAGCCGCGGGAAUACGUAGGGCGCAAGCGUUAUCCGGAUUUACUGGGUGUAAAGGGCGUGUAGGCGGGACUGCAAAGCCGAUGUGAAAACCACGGGGUCAACCUGUGGCCUGCAUUUGAAACUGUAGUUCUUGAGUACUGGAGAGGCAGGCGGAAUUCGUGGUGUAGCGGUGAAAUGCAUAGAUAUUAGGAAGAACACCAGUGGCGAAGGCGGUCUGCUGGACAGCAACUGACGCUGAGGCGCGAAAGCGUGGGGAGCAAACAUGAUUAGAUACCCGAGUAGUC
rnacentral:rRNA from 1 species